UACGGAAGGGGGCUAGCGUUGCUCGGAAUCACUGGGCGUAAAGCGCACGUAGGCGGAUUGCUAAGUCAGGGGUGAAAUCCUGGAGCUCAACUCCAGAACUGCCCUUGAUACUGGCGGUCUCGAGUCCGGGAGAGGUGAGUGGAACUGCGAGUGUAGAGGUGAAAUUCGUAGAUAUUCGCAAGAACACCAGUGGCGAAGGCGGCUCACUGGCCCGGUACUGACGCUGAGGCGCGAAAGCGUGGGUAGCGAACAGG
rnacentral:rRNA from 1 species